rnacentral:rRNA from 1 species
UGCGCCUACGGGAGGCAGCAGUGAGGAAUAUUGGUCAAUGGGCUUACGCCUGAACCAGCCAAGUCGCGUGAGGGAAGACUGCCCUAUGGGUUGUAAACCUCUUUUGUCAGGGAGCAACGCCGGCUACGUGUAGCCGGACUGAGAGUACCUGAAGAAAAAGCAUCGGCUAACUCCGUGCCAGCAGCCGCGGUAAUACGGAGGAUGCGAGCGUUAUCCGGAUUUAUUGGGUUUAAAGGGUGCGUAGGCGGAGUGGCAAGUCUGACGAGAAAGCCCGGGGCUC